CCUCUUCGGGCACCCACCGCUCAGAAUCGCGGCCAUCGAAGAAAACGAAGUCGCCGCUGCGGACGCACUUGGCGCAGGAAACCCGAGCUUCUGUACCACGCGAGCAUACUUUCUGGCUGCCAGUCGUGACUGCUCUUCACUGCAAAUUUACAACAAGCAUUAAAAAAACAAAGCCAGCCAGCAAAGCUUUAAGACAAGAGAUUCUGGAUGGCUCGACUGGGAGCUGCUUGUUUCAUGAUACUGACUGAGUCAUCUUUAUCAGAAGGGAAGGCGUGUGGAGACCUUCAUUAGGUCACUAUUUAGGCCAGCUGGUGAGCAAGAUCUCCCUUCUCUCCACCCUGCAAAUUACCAAGGGUAUCUCAAAACAACUGAAAACGUGGAGAAACAGCCUUAAAGAUGAAGGAUGUGCAGCUGAACCAUGCUGUGAAAAAAUCAAGAGGCCAAAAGAUUUGAUAGACACUUGAUGUCUGCUUGAAGAGGAGGGUUAAGAAAUAGACAGUGGUGGAACAGCCCAAUAUUAUUUGGAUUAAAAAAGUAGACACUAGAAACAUGGGUAGUUUGAAAAACUCAAAAGAUAGUUUACUAUAAAAGACACUUUUGUUUUGUGUAGGUCUGUUACCUUGUCUUAUAAGAAAAACACCAUAAUUUCCUUAUGGGACUAUAUUGAUGGCAUGGUAUUUAAUUGCCAUCCAAUUCUGGAAAACUUUUUUUUAAUCAAAUGUUGGAUAUGAUGCUGCGUUAUUACAAAUGUCUCAAAAACAUUGUAUGGUUUUACAGUUGUUGGCAAUUUUUGCAUACAAAGCUGCUUAAUAAAUUCCCAUAACUUAUAAAAAGUC